AUGGACCAAUCCAUCCCUUUUUCCCGUGCAUAUGCAUCGGACUCGGAUGACGAUGGUCCUGAUGAAGAAGUUGAUGAGGAGGGGUUCACACCGAAGGAGGCCGAAGCAUUCAAGAAGGUAUUCGGGCGGGAUCACAAGACACCAUUGUUCAAGGAUCUUAGUCUCGCGGAUGAAGCCGUUGUGGAUGGUGGAAAAUGCAUAUCUCUUGGAGCUAGGCCAAGUUCUCACCGUGAUUUGGAAGACGGCAAGAACGGGAUAUAUCCCGGUUGUGAGUUUCAAUCCUUCUUGGAAUUGAAGAUGUGGCUCGACAACUACUCGGUUACACAUUAUCGUCCACAUAAAGUGGCCAACUCGGAUGUGAAUGUGCGUUACACGGUCAAAUGUGAAGUGCCAACAUGUCCAUGGAUUGUGCGUGCAAGGCCAUGGAAAGGAGGUCCCACUUGGCGCAUAGUGAGUUGUCUACCAACUCACAUGUGCCGGCACAAGAAUGCGGAUGGCAAGCUUGUGUACCAACAACACAGACAACUCACGUCCGAGUUCAUUGCUUACAAGCUGUCCAACCAAAUAUCCACACUUCCAACAAUGAGCAUCAAGAGUGUCAUUGACCUUGUGAAAGCCAUCUUUCAUUACAAGGUGAAGUACGACAAGGCAUGGAAGGCGAAGCAAGCCGCAUUCAAGAUGUUGUAUGGCAAUUGGGAGGAAGCAUACAACCGACUCCCUAGGUUGUUGUUAGCUAUGGCCACCACAAACCCAGGCAUGGUUCGCGUGGUUGAGCCUCAUGGGCACCAAACAUUGAUUCAUAACGGAAGGACCGUCUGA
rnacentral:rRNA from 1 species